CCUACGGGUGGCUGCAGUGGGGAAUAUUGGACAAUGGGCGAAAGCCUGAUCCAGCCAUGCCGCGUGUGUGAAGAAGGCCUUCGGGUUGUAAAGCACUUUCAGUGGGGAAGAAAGCCUUGGGCUAAUACCCUCGAGGAAGGACAUCACCCACAGAAGAAGCACCGGCUAACUCCGUGCCAGCAGCCGCGGUAAUACGGAGGGUGCGAGCGUUAAUCGGAAUUACUGGGCGUAAAGCGCGCGUAGGCGGUCUGAUAAGCCGGUUGUGAAAGCCCCGGGCUCAACCUGGGAACGGCAUCCGGAACUGUCAGGCUAGAGUGCAGGAGAGGAAGGUAGAAUUCCCGGUGUAGCGGUGAGAUGCGUAGAGAUCGGGAGGAAUACCAGUGGCGAAGGCGGCCUUCUGGACUGACACUGACGCUGAGGUGCGAAAGCGUGGGUAGCAAACAGGAUUAGAUACCCGAGUAGUC
rnacentral:rRNA from 1 species